UAUAAAUCAAGGUAAAUUAUUCUGUGUAUAUUUUAUUUUCAUUUUACUUGACUCAAAUGGUAAAGAACCAAAAUAUUUAAACAUUGCAUAUAUAGCUUAUCUUUCAAAAUAAAAGGACUACUCCUGCAAAACAUGUCAAAACAGUCUUCAUCUGUCUUUCUAUGGUAUGUCUAUGGUUUGGGUCCCAGCAUACUCCAAGAAGAUUAACUUCCUUUGCUACUACAUGUUCCAUUGAAAGAACACAAAAUAUUCAGUACAAGUCCUUGAAGUACAAGUAAAUUUUAAUGACCACCUGAGUCCUCUGACUAUAGUUUGCAAACCUCAGAGCUGAGCUUGACCCUGAUGAGCUAAAAUGGCCAAUUUUCAGCAGCAGAAAUUUUAGUGAAGAUUUGCUAAGGUGAUGACAUCACUUUGAUUGAGCCUGGAAACCUACUGGAAACCAAUCCAAUAAUUUAAGUGGGGUUAUUUUGCAAGGGUGAAGUUGACACACCGACAAUCCAGCUGCCACACACUGGAUCAACUGCAACUUUCAGGUCAUCUUUAAAGGCUGUCCCGCAUAGAGAACAUGACAGUAAUCCAAUCAAGUGAUAAUCAGGGCAUGAGUUGUCAUUGCCAAGCCAUCACAAUUUGGAAGAAGCAUAAAUUUCUCAUUAACUUUCAGUUUUCAGUAUAUACUAAAAUUGCCAUCUCCAUCCUCCGGAAGGUUUCUGACUUUUGUCAUAUCUAUGUCUAUGUACUGGAUAAAGCCGAUACAUCUUUUCUAACAACAUAAAAUGCUGAAUUCUACUUUAUCAUACAAGUGCUAAAGAACAAGAGCAUUGCCACUGACAAAAGCAAACCCUGGCAACAUGAAUGCCAGCCCAUUCUUUCAAAACUCA